AUCUUUAUCUGAACGUCUUUUAAAAAUAGAAGGUAAAACAAAACAAAGAAGUGUUAAAGUGCUCUUGGUACUUGAACGUGGCAUUAUUUUAUAUGUUCCUUCAACCUUCAUAUGAAAAGUAAAUCAAGUAAUUGCGCUCUUAAGUAACCAGGAGAGCUUGUCCUGCAGGUGCAGAGGCACAGUCUUACUGAGCAGAAGGCUGGGACCAGGUGUAAGUGACAGAUUUCUUUCAGCCAUCGCACACUGCGCAGCUGGCCUGCUCAAGUGUGAAAUCUGGUAUGGAAGUGACUCUGCCCCGAGGAAUUCUUUUGCCCACAUACAUUACAGCCCUGCUGCUUUUGGUCGAGAAACACAUAUGCUUAAUUCCACACACACGCCUGAUCCCAUUUGCUGACUCUAACCCUCAGCACAACUCACUCAUCCCUCAGUAAAACCUGCAGAAUGCAUGCAAGCACUGGAAUGCAAGCUCCCUCCUCUAAGUGCUGGAGCAAAACCUUAAAAUGGAGCUCGGACAACAGGCAGCAUCGUUCAGGCUAGGCGGCGUUCAGCAAACACUUCCCGAGGCCUGGAGCCUGUGCAGCGCAGCCACUCACAGACCGCCCCUUGCCCAGCAGCCGUACACGUCCUGGUGACUCACGAGCUGGUUAUGGCUCACGGAAUUAAAUUAAACCCGGGGGCGGCUCGGCGUUGGGAUCUCAAGUUUUUAGGACCCGACAGCGCCGGGGAACGAACGCGCGGCGGCAGGCUCCAGACGCCAGGGCGGAAGCUCCACCACAGAGCUUCGCUCCCCAGUGGCCCAGCCUCGGGUGGGGGGGGGCCCGGGCAGGUUUCGCUUCUGGCGGCUGUGACAGCAGGGAGCCACCCACUGUGUCCUUGGGAAUGUUGGCGGCGUUGGCAGAACGCAAAGGUUGCGCAGACAGC